GUUUCAGGAAGUGUGUUCUGAGUUGGAUGAUCUGCAUGGUCUCGUUUUGCUUGUAGAGGUCAGUAUUCUCGGUAGACUCGGAUUUAUGAGCCAUUACUGAGUUAAGAUUGUAGAUAUGUGGCUCAGCGGUACAAGAUUAGAUGAUGUAGGGAGACAGAUUCUUGGGAACCACGAUCUACAGCUUCACCCGUCAGGAUGUGAUUUUGGCAUUUUCAGUCCCUAACUCUUAGUUAUCUAGUCAUCUCAUAUAUGAAAUUGAUGAAAAGAAACAAGAUUGUUUUGAUACUUGAUACAUAUAUGUAUUUUCAAAUGUUAUAGCUAAUUAUUUCUUACCUUUGUAUUUGUCUCUCCACUUUGCUCCCCUUUUUUUUUCUAUGACGGUGGUGUCUGGUCCAACUUGCGCACACCUCGACUAUUCCACCGGGUAUCUGCUACCUCUAAACAGCGCAGGUAUCGGAUAACUCUACCCACCAAGGCUUAGGUAGAUUGGAAGAAAUUACCUAGUAUCCCCGUUAUUUGCAUUAUGUCAAAAGGAUCAAAGGAGUUGCAUGUGUUAUGUUCCCUAAAUGGGAAACUUUAAAGGAAAGUAAUAAAUCCUUCAAAUCUAUGUAAUACAAAACAUAUUAUUUUAUGGUAUGUGCUUGAAUAUUGAACAUUUGCUUUUCCAAUAAAGGACUUGAUAACAUUAUUUAACUUUUGUACCAGGUUUAUCAAACUGGAGCUCCUUUAAUAGGAUGUAUGGGUUAUGAUUCUGACAUAAAAAUCAGGCGACCUCAUAAUUGCAUUGGUCAAGUUAUACGAAUAAUUCGUUCUCUUGACAGGAGGUCCUUUGGAAUUGUAAAACAGUUUGAUGCCAUCGCCAAGAAACAUUUGAUCAUGUUUGAAGAUGGCAGUGUUGAGUACUUUGACCUGUCAAAAGAAGAUUGGGAGUUCUGUAACUUUCUGGUGUAAUCAGGUAAGCCAACUCUUGUAAUUAUUAUAUGUCCGAACUCUUUGUUUCAAGUUCUGCUUCAUUUACUGUUUGAUUAUUGCAGUGGAAAUUUUCCAAAAAAUUGACGAUAUUUUGAUUGCUCCUCUCUAAAAGUGGUGUUCAUGUGAUGUUAGUAAGAGGAAUAUACUAAUUAAGUCACUGAGAGUCAGUCUUGAAGCAUUUACAGGAGUACAAUUGAAGCUGGAAGAAAGUCUUUGAUUUUACUUUGAUUCGUCUCUAUUUAAAGAACGGAAUCCGUUUAAAGAAUAACUAAUCAUAUAAAGUUAAGUUCUAAAGUA